rnacentral:rRNA from 1 species
GACGAACGCUGGCGGCGUGCUUAACACAUGCGAGUCGAACGGAAAGGCCCUGCUUUUGUGGGGUGCUCGAGUGGCGAACGGGUGAGUAACACGUGAGUAACCUGCCCUUGACUUUGGGAUAACUUCAGGAAACUGGGGCUAAUACCGGAUAGGAGCUCCUGCUGCAUGGUGGGGGUUGGAAAGUUUCGGCGGUUGGGGAUGGACUCGCGGCUUAUCAGCUUGUUGGUGGGGUAGUGGCUUACCAAGGCUUUGACGGGUAGCCGGCCUGAGAGGGUGACCGGCCACAUUGGGACUGAGAUACGGCCCAGACUCCUACGGGAGGCAGCAGUGGGGAAUAUUGCACAAUGGGCGGAAGCCUGAUGCAGCAACGCCGCGUGCGGGAUGACGGCCUUCGGGUUGUAAACCGCUUUCGCCUGUGACGAAGCGUGAGUGACGGUAAUGGGUAAAGAAGCUCCGGCUAACUACGUG